GAAUUUUGCGCAAUGGCCGCAAGGCUGACGCAGCAACGCCGCGUGGGUGAUGAAGGCCUUCGGGUCGUAAAGCCCUGUCGGGUGGGAAGAACGUGCCGGGAGUUAACAGCUUUUGGUAUUGACGGUACCACCAGCGGAAGCACCGGCUAACUCCGUGCCGGCAGCCGCGGUAAUACGGAGGGUGCAAGCGUUAUUCGGAAUUACUGGGCGUAAAGCGCGUGCAGGCGGCUCUGGAAGUCUGAUGUGAAAGCCCCGGGCUUAACCCGGGAAGUGCAUUGGAAACUCUGGGGCUUGAGUGCUGGAGAGGAAGGGAGAAUUCCCGGUGUAGAGGUGAAAUUCGUAGAGAUCGGGAGGAACACCAGUGGCGAAGGCGCCCUUCUGGACAGCAACUGACGCUGAGACGCGAAAGCGUGGGGAGCAAACAGG
rnacentral:rRNA from 1 species